GCUGGGUGUGGUGGCUCACAUCUGUAAUCCCAACACUUUGGGAGGCUGAGACAGGUGGAUCACUUGAGGCCAGGAGUUCAAGACCAGCCUGGCCAACAUGGUGAAACUCCGUCUCUACUAAAAAUACAAAAAAUUAAGGCCGGGCAUGGUGGCUCAUGCCUGUAAUCCCAGCAAUGUCAGAGGCCAAGGCAAGUGGAUCACCUGAGGUCAGGAGUUCAAGACCAGCCUGGCCAAUAUGGUGAAAUCCUGUCUCU
ensembl:misc_RNA Metazoa_SRP Metazoan signal recognition particle RNA